rnacentral:rRNA from 1 species
UACAGAGGUGGCAAGCGUUGUUCGGAAUUACUGGGCGUAAAGGGCGCGUAGGCGGCCAUCUAAGUCAGACGUGAAAUCCCCCGGCUUAACCUGGGAACUGCGUCUGAUACUGGACGGCUUGAGUAUGGGAGAGGGAUGUAGAAUUCCAGGUGUAGCGGUGAAAUGCGUAGAUAUCUGGAGGAAGACCGGUGGCGAAGGCGGUCUGCUGGGCAGUUUCUGACACUGAUGCGCGACAGCGUGGGGAGCAAACAGG